rnacentral:rRNA from 1 species
AACGAACGCUGGCGGCAUGCCUAACACAUGCAAGUCGAACGAGACCUUCGGGUCUAGUGGCGCACGGGUGCGUAACGCGUGGGAACCUGCCCUUAUGUUCGGAAUAACUCCCCGAAAGGGGUGCUAAUACCGGAUAAUGUCUUCGGACCAAAGAUUUAUCGCCUUUGGAUGGGCCCGCGUUGGAUUAGCUAGUUGGUAGGGUAAAAGCCUACCAAGGCGACGAUCCAUAGCUGGUCUGAGAGGAUGAUCAGCCACACUGGGACUGAGACACGGCCCAGACUCCUACGGGAGGCAGCAGUGGGGAAUAUUGGACAAUGGGCGAAAGCCUGAUCCAGCAAUGCCGCGUGAGUGAUGAAGGCCUUAGGGUUGUAAAGCUCUUUUACCCGGGAUGAUAAUGACAGUACCGGGAGAAUAAGCUCCGGCUAACUCCGUG